GUGCUUGCUUGGGCAGCACAGACACUAAAAGUGGAAAAAUACUGAGAAAAUUACAAUGGUCCCUCAGCAAAGAUGACAUGCAAACUCGUGAAGCAUUCCGCAACUCC
ensembl:snRNA U6 U6 spliceosomal RNA